rnacentral:misc_RNA from 1 species
ACACGACCGAUCGUCUUACCCCUACUACUUUGUGACGGACCAACGUCUCCCCACUCCCCGCGCCGACAGAUCAGUCGCGUCACGCACCAGGAGACGUUCAGCCUAAUUCGUGACAGUGUCAUCGUGCCAACUGGCUGACAUCAAUUAAAUAAAGAUUCUGACACAUGUCAAGGUCGUUCCAACUAGCACCUCAACAACACAUUGUCUUCUGGCACCGAUACGAUACUUUACAUAAACCGUGGUAAGAUCUAUCGAUCAUUUACAAGCUCAAUUAUCGAAACAACAACAGCAUACAAUGUUGUGUAAUGUACCAGCUGUCAGCCAGAAGUUUAAUCAUUCAUUUAACACGUUUGGAUUUAAAUGACAGAAACUUGUGACUAUCACGUGGUACACUCGUGUCAAUCUUCAGUAUACUCUCGAAUUGUGAAAUACAUUCUUAUAAAAAUCUUUGAUAGAUUGUUCGAAUUUUAUUUAGGCUACGUAGUUUCAGAUGUUUUCAAUGUGCUUAUGUAUCCAAAAACGAUACUUACGCUAUAAGCAUAUAUUUUAAUCUCUAACGAUCAAAUUUUAAAAGGGUGGAAUUUUUAGAAUGCUGAUUAACCCCUGUUCGGAUAGGUGGUUAAUUUUAACCCUUAGCUUUUACGAUAAUCGCUAUUAAUAGUAUACUGACAAAUUUAUAUAAUUAUAAUUGUUAGGUUUAUUAACUGUUAUAUUUUUUAAUAAUAUUAAAAUAAAAUUUGCAUGGGAUGAAAUUGUGGCUACGGUAAAUUUUAAGGGUGAAUACUUUAUAUUUGUGUUUGCGAGGUUUAAACAUUUAAUGAAAUUAAUUAUGUAAAUUUUAAAAUUUAGGCUUAAUUUUAACAAUUGGUACGACUCCCCGAAAUCCGAAGAGGGGUUAAAACACAUUCGGGUACAACGUAGGAUUCUCUUAGAUAAAAAUACAUGUUCGAGGAGUUUCAUCAUUUGGCUUCCAUUUUGAAAAAUUAAGUACGUAAACAAGAAACUUUAAAAAUCUGAAAAUUUAGAAAUUUAAAGGUUAAA